rnacentral:rRNA from 1 species
UGGGGAAUAUUGCACAAUGGGGGAAACCCUGAUGCAGCCAUGCCGCGUGUGUGAAGAAGGCCUUCGGGUUGUAAAGCACUUUCAGUUGUGAGGAAAAGUUAGUAGUUAAUACCUGCUAGCCGUGACGUUAACAACAGAAGAAGCACCGGCUAACUCCGUGCCAGCAGCCGCGGUAAUACGGAGGGUGCGAGCGUUAAUCGGAAUUACUGGGCGUAAAGCGCACGCAGGCGGUUUGUUAAGCUAGAUGUGAAAGCCCCGGGCUCAACCUGGGAUGGUCAUUUAGAACUGGCAGACUAGAGUCUUGGAGAGGGGAGUGGAAUUCCAGGUGUAGCGGUGAAAUGCGUAGAUAUCUGGAGGAACAUCAGUGGCGAAGGCGACUCCCUGGCCAAAGACUGACGCUCAUGUGCGAAAGUGUGGGUAGCGAACAGGAUUAGAUACCCCCGUAGUCC